GAUGAACGCUAGCGGCAGGCUUAACACAUGCAAGUCGAGGGGUAGAAGGAGCUUGCUCCUUUGAGACCGGCGCACGGGUGCGUAACGCGUAUGCAAUCUACCUUUUGCAGAGGGAUAGCCCAGAGAAAUUUGGAUUAAUACCUCAUAGUAUGUGAGGAUGGCAACAUUUUCACAUUAAAGUCACAACGGCAAAAGAUGAGCAUGCGUCCCAUUAGCUAGUUGGUAAGGUAACGGCUUACCAAGGCUACGAUGGGUAGGGGUCCUGAGAGGGAGAUCCCCCCACACUGGUACUGAGACACGGACCAGACUCCUACGGGAGGCAGCAGUGAGGAAUAUUGGACAAUGGGCGCAAGCCUGAUCCAGCCAUGCCGCGUGCAGGAUGACGGUCCUAUGGAUUGUAAACUGCUUUAUACAGGAAGAAACACACCCUCGUGAGGGUACUUGACGGUACUGUAUGAAUAAGGACCGGCUAACUCCGUGCCAG
rnacentral:rRNA from 1 species